AGAGUUUGAUCCUGGCUCAGGACGAACGCUGGCGGCGUGCUUAACACAUGCAAGUCGAACGGUCCUGUUUUUGAAGCGUUUCGGCGUGGAGGGAGCGGGGCAGUGGCGCACGGGUGAGUAAAGCGCGAGGACCUGCCCGCCGGAGGGGGACAGCAGUUGGAAACGGCUGGUGAUACCCCGUAAGCCGGGAGGUGAAAGGGCGUAUACGCCCGCCUGCGGAUGGACUCGCGUCCUAUCAGCUAGUUGGUGAGGCAACGGCUCACCAAGGCGACGACGGGUAGCCGGCCUGAGAGGGUGUCCGGCCACACUGGAACUGAGACACGGUCCAGACUCCUACGGGAGGCAGCAGUGGGGAAUUUUGGGCAAUGGGGGAGACCCUGGCCCAGCGACGCCGCGUGAGGGAUGAAGGCCCUUGGGUCGUAAACCUCUUUUGCAGGGGAAGAAGCAGAUGACGGUACCUUGCGAAUAAGUCCCGGCUAACUACGUGCCAGCAGCCGCGGUAACACGUAGGGGACGAGCGUUGUCCGGAAUUACUGGGCGUAAAGGGCGCGCAGGCUGUGCGUCGAGUCGGCUGUUGAAAGGCGGGGCUCAACCCCGCGAAGCGGUCGAGACCGGCGUGCUGGAGAGCUGCAGAGGCAGGCGGAAUUCCCGGUGUAGCGGUGAAAUGCGUAGAUAUCGGGAAGAACACCGGUGGCGAAGGCGGCCUGCUGGGCAGUUACUGACGCUGAGGCGCGAGAGCCAGGGUAGCGAACGGGAUUAGAUACCCCGGUAGUCCUGGCCGUAGACGAUGGAUGCCAGGUGUGCGUGCAGAGAUGCACACGUGCCGCAGUCAACGCGAUAAGCAUCCCGCCUGGGGAGUAUGGUCGCAAGAUUGAAACUCAAAGGAAUUGACGG
rnacentral:rRNA from 1 species